GAGUGGCGGACGGGUGAGUAACACGUGGGUAACCUGCCCUUAAGUGGGGGAUAACAUUUGGAAACAGAUGCUAAUACCGCAUAGAUCCAAGAACCGCAUGGUUCUUGGCUGAAAGAUGGCGUAAGCUAUCGCUUUUGGAUGGACCCGCGGCGUAUUAGCUAGUUGGUGAGGUAACGGCUCACCAAGGCGAUGAUACGUAGCCGAACUGAGAGGUUGAUCGGCCACAUUGGGACUGAGACACGGCCCAAACUCCUACGGGAGGCAGCAGUAGGGAAUCUUCCACAAUGGACGCAAGUCUGAUGGAGCAACGCCGCGUGAGUGAAGAAGGCUUUCGGGUCGUAAAACUCUGUUGUUGGAGAAGAAUGGUCGGCAGAGUAACUGUUGUCGGCGUGACGGUAUCCAACCAGAAAGCCACGGCUAACUACGUGCCAGCAGCCGCGGUAAUACGUAGGUGGCAAGCGUUAUCCGGAUUUAUUGGGCGUAAAGCGAGCGCAGGCGGUUUUUUAAGUCUGAUGUGAAAGCCCUCGGCUUAACC
rnacentral:rRNA from 1 species